rnacentral:rRNA from 1 species
UUUCCCCCCCUUUUCUUAACCCUUGGGCACUUUGGUUUGGGCCCCCUUUAACCCCGGAAGAAAACCAAAUCCUAUUCCCUUUUUAAACCCAAAGCCAUUGAUGGAUUUAAUUUUUUUAAAAAAUAAACUUUUCAACAACGAUCUCUUGGUCUCGCAUCGAUGAAAAAACCCACGAAAAUGCAUAAGUAUUGUAAAUGCAAAAUUCGUGAAUCAUCAAUCUUUGACGCCCCUUGCGCUCCAGGUUUCCGUGGAGCAGCCUGUUUGAGUGCAUGAUACUCACCCUCCUCUUCUUAUGAUUGAAAGGUGUUUGUUUCUGACGCUGUGGCCUUUACGUCUACUCGUUCGUAAUGCAUUACAUCCCAAUCACUUCGAUUGACUUGGCGUAAAAACUAUUCGCUGAGGAAUUCUAGUCUUCGGACUAGAGCCGGGUUGGGUUAAAGGAAGCUUCUAAUCAGAAUGUCUACAUUUUAAGAUUAGAUCUCAAAUCAGGUAGGACUACCCGCUGAACUUAAGCAUAUCAAUAAGCGGGAGGAA